CCCAGCACGCAAAAUAAUGUGUGACACCAAGAAAACAGAGUUUCCAUAAGUGUUUGAAAUUUAGACAAAAUGUGACAUUUUAACCUAAAAAUUAACUAAGGGGAACAUGACAUAUACAAGUUCAUUUUUGAUCUUGUUUCACUUUUGACUUGCAUGUCUUUGCGGAACAAGCUCACAAAGUUGAAAAAGAGAAGGUGUAAGCAAACCUCUUCACAUCACCAUCCACUGCCUGAGGAGCGUAAAACCAAAAAGUCCCCGUGUCUCCUUGCACAGUUUUCACUAUAGUCAUUCCGAACCAAUGGUCACAACUCUCCACUUUGUCUCCUCUAUCUCUCCUGGUUGUGAUUGAUGACUUAGCCACCCGGUGCAAAUUGACACUGAUUUUCUCAUGUGAAUGGGAGGCAGUGAGAAAAGUGAACUCGCUUGAUAUAAAAUAGAUGCACUCAAUUUCCACUUCAUGGACAUGACACCACUCCGUCGGCAUCAUCACUACUGGAUUUCAGGGAAUCGCUAAUGAAAAUACAUCUUUGUAGAUAUUGGGCUUCAAAAUCAGAAAAUGAUUGGCACUAGUACAAGGAAGGGCUUUAGCCCCGGGCCAUAAGCGCCUUUAGUCCCGGCUACAGAACCGGGGCUAAGGUUUCGGGACUAAAUGUCCCACCUUUAGUCCGGUUCUCUGGACCGGGACUAAAGGAGUCCCGGUUGGUAACAGCAACCGGGACUAAAAGGUGCGCCAGGGUGUGCCACCUGGCCUCCACUUUUAGUUCCGGUUGUUGCUACCAACCGGGACUAAAGACUUUUUUCUUUUUUCUUUUUUCUUUUUCUUUUCAUUUGGUUUUCCAUUUAGAGUUUACAAUUAUGUUAUUGUUAUUUUCGAAUACGUAUUGUUUGCUGGUAGUUUAUGGAACGCGCACCUAUAAUUUAUAUAAUUUAAAGGAUUACAUAUAAAUACACUAUAAAACACUAUAUAUAUAAAUAAUAUGUAUCUGUAGGUCCAUAAUAAAAUAUUUACACAUAUGCUUCACGGUCAAAGUAUUUACAACACAAUUUAUCUCCACCACUCAAGCAUCGUACAAAUGAUCAUCGUUAUUUGGUUUCAUCUGCUCCUGAGGGUUGAAGUAGCACACGCCGCCGGAAUCCAGGACUUGGUCGUUAAGAAAUCCUGCGAUUGUCUUUCUUUUAGGCGCACCGCAUCCAACACCUGCUCCUUCAGCCACAUCUCCUUUAAUAGACAUUAAAGAAAAAAGUUAGAGGUAUGAAUAGGAUUAAUUAAAUAGCAACAAAUAAAUAAAAUAAACUUAUUAUAUAUACAUGUUACAUACUUUUACGUGCUCAAGAUUAGUUCUUUUGGCAUACACCGUCAUAAACUCGCACACAUAGUAGCCACACAAAUUGUUACCCGGUGUCUGCCGUAGAACCCACUGAAGUAAGAUGGGCUUUGAAAGUGCUGCAUUCAACUCUGGACGGUGUUUCUGCACGAACCCAGCCCAAACCCUAGCAAUAAAACGAUCAUUAUUAAUUUUCCAUUACCAAGUUAAAAGAGCAGAAUUUAAUAUAUAGAGAUCGGAGUUACCCAUGGAUAAUGUCUAUCAUUUCUUGGUAAUCAUCCUGUGGUUUUCUCAAUGAGUCAUAGAUUACCAAUUAACAUUGCCAGAGAUCAAUGACAAUUAGUAUCCAAUGAAAGCUGCAUUUGUGUGCAUAUGUAGGCAAAAUUAGUAUAUAUCUUCAUAUUGAUCUGAUUAAUUAGUUAAAUAGAAUGUACACACGAUAACGACACUUACUUAAAGUUGUAGGAAAAGAGUAUAUAUCUUUUAUCUUUUUGGU
rnacentral:lncRNA from 1 species